UGCUACUUAAAAAGUUUGGUGAAACAAUGUUUUUGAAGAGAUGUAAACAUUUUAGUAAUGUCCAAUUACUUUAAGAAUCAACUUAGAUAUAUUAAACCUUCUCCUUGAAAGAAAAACAUCACUCCUGAUUCACCUGCAGUUAUUUAGCUACCGAUGCACUGAAGACUUAAGAAAAUAACUGUAUCUUUGUGAAUCUAGGAAAAACACAGAAAGGCAAACUUAAAGGCAGAUUUUAGAGGAUUAGGGUUUUCAACGCUAGAAUAUAUAUAUUAUGUGUAUAAUAAGCAUUUCAUGGACAAUUAGAUUUAUUUGAAAUUUUUUAAUUCCACUUGUGAACUAAGUACUCAAUUUUCACUAGUAUUAUAAAAGUGUUUAACAAACAAAUUAAAUACACUCAGGGGAACUAGUUCAUCCUGGCCUUUACCAUGGUUUGUUCCUUGUUUCCCAUUGAAAAUAACAGUAUAUUUUAUGUUUCCAUUUCAGAUCCCACAGCCAUCCAUUGCUUUAAGAGAGGAAGCUUACAGCCUAAUUACGAGUCAGCACAGAAUUUAUAAGCUUGUCAAGAGCUUCCAUGAGCACAGUCCAUGUCAGCAGUUAGCACAGCCAGAUUUGCUGGCAGCUGUACAGAGCACAGUGAUGGAAAGAGAGUGCCACAUUCAGUUACUUCCUUCCACAACACACCAAGCAGCAGAGGAACUGAUUUUGUUGUCCAGUUCCAGAAACAGAUGUGGUUUGAAUUUCUGCGCACAUGGGUCUGAGUGCCUACGCAGACUGAGAAUGGUCUCGCUGCUUCAGCCAUUGGGCAAGAUGUUGUUUCCCCUGAAAUCGGCAGGAGCCACCAAAUUCCAAGAUGCCAGAAAUUUUCACCUCUCCUCUUUACAGCCACUGAAGUCCAGAAACAUGUAUUGCUUGUCCAGUUUGAGACUGCUCCAACUUUCUCUUUAUAUUUUCUAUGGAACUGUUGGUCUUAGAAAAACUAAUAGCAGAGGUGGAAAACUUCUGUAUUUUUGA
rnacentral:lncRNA from 1 species